GAGGGUGUAGCUCAGUGGUAGUGUGUGUGCCUAGCAUGCAUAGGUCCAGGGUUCAAUCCCCAGUACUUCCA
rnacentral:tRNA from 1 species